GUCCAGAUGAUGAAUCCCAAAUAAAAAGAAACGUACGUCCUGGAU
rnacentral:hammerhead_ribozyme from 1 species